rnacentral:lncRNA from 1 species
AAAACAACAGUUUGAACAUAAGAGGGCAUGUUGAAGGUAAAUGUGUCUCUCUUUAACGGUUAAGUUUUUAGACGACGUGGUUCAACCUCCAUAAAAUCUUUUCCAACCAUUGGAUUAAUGUGAAGAACCAAUUUUACUUAUCCCACAUAACAACACAAGUUCGACCAACAUCAGAACAUUUGACACAAUUUUCACCUCUCCAUCCUAAUCAGCCUAAAACUAGCCCACGUAGAAAACCAGAUGCUCUCACUUGUUACAUGUAGUUUAUAACACAGAAAUACAGAUGAAGACAAUAAAACAUUAAACUUUCAACAUUUUUCAGAAAUAAUGAAGCAGAUAGAAUGAUUUCAAAUGUUAGAUCCAUGGAGUAAUGUUACUCCAGAUAGCCAUACCAUUUACAAAAAGAAAAAAAAAAUCGUCUUUCCAUUAUCAGAAUCAAAUAACAGUAAACCCCACAAAACAACAUAAUUAAGAAAUGGAACUCACCAAGAGACCAUUAGAGAACUCGCUAGAACGAAUCUGCUAAACACCGAGUGAUGAUGAAUCGAAACUCCAAAACUACCAAGCCCAAUGUGAAUUUUCAAUGUAAAGAUUUUAAAAAGAACUUGAAAAAAGCUAAAGAAAUGAUUUUUAUAGCAAAAAAUUUUAUCUUGAAGGGGAUUCUAAAGAGCCCAGAUCGAGAAACUUGAAAACUCAAUAGAGGGGUUCGACAAGAUUAAGGAUUCGCAAUCUUGUGACUCAAAAAGUUCCCCUAUAUCAAAAAAGCCCGAAUUAAGCAGAAGAAAAUAAUAGAUGAUAUCAAACAGAGUCCGAACACUAUACGUGGAGAUAUUUGUUGAUUCGAUUCCAAAAUCUGUAUAUCCUAAUUGGCUGACGUGUGCUUGUGAAAGAGACCAGCCAAGACCCAGAGGCCAGAGGUAAUUUUGAGCACUCGUAGAAAUAAGUUAAAGAACGCAUUUUAUUCAAAAGUUCAAUUAUAAUUUACAAUUGAAAUUUUUUCCAUUGUGUAUGCUGUAUAAGAUUUCAAAUUCUAAGAAAAUGAGUCAUUGAGUUUUUGUUCAAUUUGUAUUGGCAAAAAAUGAC